rnacentral:rRNA from 1 species
AAUGAACGUUGGCGGCGUGGAUUAGGCAUGCAAGUCGAGCGAGAAGUCACUUAUUGAAGCUUCGGCCGAUUUAAGUGAUGGACAGCGGCGAAAGGGAGAGUAACGCGUGGAUCACCUACCCCUGGGUCCGGAAUAGCUGCGGGAAACUGCAGGUAAUGCCGGAUAAUGUCCCCGGACCAAAGGUGCGAUUCCGCCCUAGGAGGGGUCCGCGUCCUAUUAGCUUGUUGGUGGGGUAACGGCCUACCAAGGCUCCGAUGGGUACCGGGUGUGAGAGCAUGGCCCGGCUCACUGGGACUGAGACACUGCCCAGACACCUACGGGUGGCUGCAGUCGAGAAUCUUCGGCAAUGGGCGAAAGCCCGACCGAGCGACGCCGCGUGUGGGAUGAAGGCCUUCGGGUUGUAAACCGCUGUCAGUGGGGAGGAAAUCCAUGGAGGCAAUCCUCCAUGGUUGACCUAUCUUCAGAGGAAGGACGGGCUAAGUUCGUG